UACGGAGGGUGCAAGCGUUGUCCGGAUUCAUUGGGUUUAAAGGGUGCGCAGGCGGGACAUUAAGUCAGGGGUGAAAGACGGUUGCUCAACAAUCGCAGUGCCUUUGAUACUGGUGUUCUUGGGUAACCUUGAGGUAGGCGGAAUGGGUGGUGUAGCGGUGAAAUGCAUAGAUACCACCCAGAACUCCGAUGCGAAGGCAGCCUACUGAGGUCAACCGACGCUCAGGCACGAAAGCGUGGGAUC
rnacentral:rRNA from 1 species